rnacentral:rRNA from 1 species
AUGAUAGGCUGUGUGUUGGGCACAGACCUAUGCCCGAAUAACAUCUGGCAAUUUUUUUCUUGGUGCUAUGUAUUCUUACCUGAUGGAGCCAGAUUCUAUAUUUUUGGACUGGCAGCCGUAUGCUGGGCUAUCUGGAACAACCAUAACCAAGUUACUUCUGAGCAUAAACAACUUAAAACACCUUUUAAUGUGGUGUACUCUGCAUGUGGCUUUUUGAUAUACUGGGCAGGCUUGAUGACUGGUGCUGACAAGGAGACAAUGGAGCAUGGUGCCAAGAUGCUCAAGACAAACGCGUCGGCAAUGAUGAGAAUUUGUGCAGCUCCAACCAGGGCGAUGAUGGAUUGA